AUUCCCUUCAGGCUUUUUGCUGUAAACAUGGUCUUUUCAGAAAGAAUGCAGUGUUUACAUUACAGCCUAGUGAUAACUCCACUGGCCACUCCUCGGAUGGCUGCUAGAGCUGCUUCCUAUCUCAGUCUUGCCUAGUUUGAAUCACAACAUUCAGUAGCUCCUCCCUCUGCAUGCAGACACUGAACUUUCCUCAUAGAGAUUGAUUGAUUGGCCAGGGCUGUGUUUGAAUUGUGUUGGCUCUUCCCCUAAUUUGCCUCCUUGACAG